UACGUAGGGUGCGAGCGUUGUCCGGAAUUACUGGGCGUAAAGAGCUCGUAGGUGGUUUGUCGCGUUGUUCGUGAAAACUCACAACUCAAUUGUGGGCGUGCGGGCGAUACGGGCAGACUGGAGUACUGCAGGGGAGACUGGAAUUCCUGGUGUAGCGGUGGAAUGCGCAGAUAUCAGGAGGAACACCGGGUGGCGAAGGCGGG
rnacentral:rRNA from 1 species